UACAGAGGUCCCAAGCGUUGUUCGGAUUCAUUGGGCGUAAAGGGUGCGUAGGCGGCGCGGUAAGUCGGGUGUGAAAUCUCGGGGCUUAACUCCGAAACUGCAUUCGAUACUGCCGUGCUUGAGGACUGGAGAGGAGACUGGAAUUCAUGGUGUAGCAGUGAAAUGCGUAGAGAUCGUAAGGAAGACCAGUGGCGAAGGCGGGUCUCUGGAAAGUUCCUGACACUGAGGCACGAAGGCCAGGGGAGCAAACGGG
rnacentral:rRNA from 1 species